rnacentral:rRNA from 1 species
AUUGAACGCUGGCGGCAGGCCUAACACAUGCAAGUCGAACGAGUGGCGGACGGGUGAGUAAUGUCUGGGAAACUGCCCGAUGGAGGGGGAUAACUACUGGAAACGGUAGCUAAUACCGCAUACCAUCGGAUGUGCCCAGAUGGGAUUAGCUAGUAGGUGGGGUAAUGGCUCACAAAGGCAACGAUCCCUAGCUGGUCUGAGAGGAUGACCAGCCACACUGGAACUGAGACACGGUCCAGACUCCUACGGGAGGCAGCAGUGGGGAAUAUUGGACAAUGGGGGAAAGCCUGAUGCAGCCAUGCCGCGUGUAUGACGAAGGCCUUCGGGUUGUAAAGUACUUUCGGCGAGGAGGCGUUACUCGCAGAAGAAGCACCGGCUAACUCCGUGCCAGCAGCCGCGGUAAUAC